UACGUAGGGUGCAAGCGUUAAUCGGAAUUACUGGGCGUAAAGCGUGCGCAGGCGGUUCGGAAAGAAAGAUGUGAAAUCCCAGAGCUUAACUUUGGAACUGCAUUUUUAACUACCGAGCUAGAGUGUGUCAGAGGGAGGUGGAAUUCUGCGUGUAGCAGUGAAAUGCGUAGAUAUGCGGAGGAACACCGAUGGCGAAGGCAGCCUCCUGGGAUAACACUGACGCUCAUGCACGAAAGCGUGGGGAGCAAACAGG
rnacentral:rRNA from 1 species